AUUGAACGCUGGCUGCAGGCUUAACACAUGCAAGUCGAGCGAGCGGCGGACGGGUGAGUAAUGCCUGUGAAACUGCCUGCUGGUGGGGGAUAAUUACUGGAAACGGUAGCUAAUACUGCACAUCAUCAGAUGUGCCCAGAUGGGAUUAGCUAGUUGGUGGGGUAACGGCUCACCUAGGCGACGAUCCCUAGCUGGUCUGAGAGGAGGACCAGCCACACUAGAACUGAGACACGGUCCAGACUCAUACGGGAGGCAGCAGUGGGGAAUAGUGCACAAGGGGCUGAAGCCUGAUGCAGCCAUGCCGAGUGGAGGAAGAAGGCCUUCGGGUUGUAAAGUACUUUCAGCGGGGAGGCGUUACCCGAAGAAGAAGCACCGGCUAACUCCGUGCCAGCAGCCGCGGUAAUAC
rnacentral:rRNA from 1 species